GACGAACGCUGGCGGCGUGCUUAACACAUGCAAGUCGAACGGAAAGGCCCUGCUUUUGUGGGGUGCUCGAGUGGCGAACGGGUGAGUAACACGUGAGUAACCUGCCCUUGACUUUGGGAUAACUUCAGGAAACUGGGGCUAAUACCGGAUAGGAGCUCCUGCUGCAUGGUGGGGGUUGGAAAGUUUCGGCGGUUGGGGAUGGACUCGCGGCUUAUCAGCUUGUUGGUGGGGUAGUGGCUUACCAAGGCUUUGACGGGUAGCCGGCCUGAGAGGGUGACCGGCCACAUUGGGACUGAGAUACGGCCCAGACUCCUAAGGGAGGCAGCAGAGGGGAAUAUUGCACAAUGGGCGGAAGCCUGAUGCAGCAACGCCGCGUGCGGGAUGACGGCCUUCGGGUUGUAAACCGCUUUCGCCUGUGACGAAGCGUGAGUGACGGUAAUGGGUAAAGAAGCACCGGCUAACUACGUG
rnacentral:rRNA from 1 species